UUCCGUCUAUAACUGGCUCUGUACCUUUACUUACAUAUAUUCAUUUUUUGUAAUCGUAGGUGUCAAUCCGGAUCAUGUUGCUCUAAGUAAAUAUAUUACUUUAAGGUCUCCAAUCAAUGAAACCCCCAUUUCCGUUCGAGGGGAUCGUAUAAAAAUAUAUCCAGUCUUGAAUUAAUCAUCAUCGAACUUUACUGGAAGAAUGUAUUCCUUUCCCACUUUUCUAUAAUUAUCUGACACUGGUUUUAUCAAAUUAA
rnacentral:lncRNA from 1 species